GUCUACGGCCAUACCACGUUGAAAACACCGGUUCUCGUCUGAUCACCGAAGUUAAGCAACGUCGGGCCCGGUUAGUACUUUGAUGGGUGACCGCCUGGGAAUACCGGGUGCUGUAGACU
rnacentral:rRNA from 1 species